GAUCCUGGCUCAGGAUGAACGCUAGCUACAGGCUUAACACAUGCAAGUCGAGGGGCAGCAUGGUCUUAGCUUGCUAAGGCCGAUGGCGACCGGCGCACGGGUGAGUAACGCGUAUCCAACCUGCCUUACACUCUUGGACAGCCUUCUGAAAGGGAGAUUAAUACAAGAUGUUAUCAUGAGUAAGCAUUUUCGCAUGAUUAAAGAUUUAUCGGUGAUGGAUGGGGA
rnacentral:rRNA from 1 species